GCGUGCGAAGGUUUGAGAAAGGGUACAGGACAGUAAUGAUAGUACUGAAGCAGGAUAAAAACAAGGCUUCAUGGAAGAUUGCGUAGACCUAGAACCAACGAUAGUAAAUGCUGACGGAGAGGAAAGCUGGACAAGCGGUCUUUUUGUGAUUAAUACCUAAGGGACGAAGUGAAUGAAACGAGGAAGCAAAAAUGCAGUAGACCCCUGAUAUCCCCAGCAACUGCUGCAGAAGGAGGUGUUCUGCCACGGGCAAGUAAGAUAGAAAGGGAAGGAUACAAUACUUACACUUUCAGACGAAUUGCCACGGCUGAAGUUGAAGAGACCAGAAAAACGUAAGCAAGCUGAGGUGCGAAAACCACGUGGAACCAGCCAAGAGCCGUCUCCGUCUCCCGCAAACGAAAGCCCGUCCUUCCUGACUAGGAAGGCUCACUGUUAGUAGCCAUCGAAAUAAUAGAUCACAGACGUAUAACGAAGGUCUGUCCGCCUUACAGCAAGUACGCUACGUGUUCAUAACGUUGGGGAACAACUGCACACUGCCAUGAAGAAUUACAGGUCCCACCCUCAGACCUCUGCAAGUUAUCACAUUUCAGGAGCAGCCAGGAGGAUCCAAAUGCCAGCGGAAAGGUUUGCCUACCAGUCCCGACAAGAAGCCUUCAGUCAUAGGAAGGUUGGCCGUGUCCUUACUUGUGAGUAAUAAGCCACAAUUCACUGACGGGCAAAGGAAGCAGGGAAUAACGAUGGGUGGCCCAAUCACUGUGGCCCUGCUGUUGCUGGCAGGGCCAGCAGGUCUGCGUGAAGCCUCAGCUGCCUGCUUGGAGCUGUAUUUUGCUCUGUUUACCUGGAAGAAGCGGUGAGACCUUAAAAUAAGAAUUUUUGUGGUGAGACGAGUAAGCCGGAACCCCACCUGCAUUUUGCCUUCCUUUGCUGCUUCAUGUCGUAACAGCAACUUGGGAUCCCAGGAUGAAAACUGUUACAGUGCUGGGGGGGGGAGCACUGCAUCUGCCCAGGUUAGGGAACCAUCGUUAAAGCUUUGGGAGAGAAAAAGCUCUAAAACGAGAAUCUCCCGGGUGGUUUGAUUCAUGUUGAGGGUCAGUGUCAGAGCCUAGUACUCUCUGACAGGGUUCUUCUAGAUAUUCCACACAUACGGAGAGCAUAAUGUUUAAUACAGUGGUUUAAUUUAAAGGUAUGUGAUGUUACAUGAGAUUUUUGAUUUAGAGGAGUGAUACAGUAAUAUACUGAAAUCACAGUACAAGUGUAAUUGUUCUUACUGGUCUCUAUAAUACAUUCACCCUCAUGACAUCCGCACUCGCUGGGAAUACGUGGGUUGAAGCCAGCUCCAGCCCGUCGCUCUCUCCAAAAAUUCCUUUGUUGGUUGUUCAGGCUUUAUACUCUGUGUUGGGCUGAGCCACAUAUGCACUUACACCAUUCCUGAGCUUCAGGGACAUCUUGCCUGCGUCCAUCUCCUCUGAGCUUUCUUUCCUUACAGGGGUUAUUGGUCGCUUAUAGUCAGUCGUAAUUGUGGACUAGGGAGUAGCUCUAGGA